rnacentral:rRNA from 1 species
GACGAACGCUGGCGGCGUGCUUAACACAUGCAAGUCGAACGCUGAAGACCUGGCUUUUGUUGGGUUGGAUGAGUGGCGAACGGGUGAGUAACACGUGAGUAGCCUGCCCUCUUCUUUGGGAUAACGCCCGGAAACGGGUGCUAAUACUGGAUAUUCACUGAUCUUCGCAUGGGGGUUGGUGGAAAGGUUUGUUCUGGUGGGGGAUGGGCUCGCGGCCUAUCAGCUUGUUGGUGGGGUGAUGGCCUACCAAGGCUUUGACGGGUAGCCGGCCUGAGAGGGUGACCGGUCACAUUGGGACUGAGAUACGGCCCAGACUCCUACGGGAGGCAGCAGUGGGGAAUAUUGCACAAUGGGCGAAAGCCUGAUGCAGCGACGCCGCGUGAGGGAUGGAGGCCCUCGGGUUGUAAACCUCUUUCGCUCAUGGUCAAGCCGCAACUGUGGGUUGUGGUGAGGGUAGUGGGUAAAGAAGCGCCGGCUAACUACGUG